GCCCGGAUGGUCUAGUGGUAUGAUUCCUGCUUUGGGUUAACAGCUUAACUGCAGGAGGCCCCGCGUUCAAAUCGCGGUUCGGGCC
rnacentral:tRNA from 1 species